UACGUAGGGUGCGAGCGUUAAUCGGAAUACUGGGCGUAAAGCGUGCGCAGGCGGUGAUGUAAGACAGAUGUGAAAUCCCCGGGCUCAACCUGGGACCUGCAUUUGUGACUGCAUCGCUAGAGUACGGCAGAGGGGGAUGGAAUUCCGCGUGUAGCAGUGAAAUGCGUAGAUAUGCGGAGGAACACCGAUGGCGAAGGCAAUCCCCUGGGCCUGUACUGACGCUCAUGCACGAAAGCGUGGGGAGCAAAAGGG
rnacentral:rRNA from 1 species